GACGAACGCUGGCGGCGUGCUUAACACAUGCAAGUCGAACGGUAAGGCCCUUCGGGGUACACGAGUGGCGAACGGGUGAGUAACACGUGGGUGAACUGCCCUGCACUUCGGGAUAAGCCUGGGAAACUGGGUCUAAUACCGGAUAGGACCACUGCCUGCAUGGGUGGUGGUGGAAAGCUUUUGCGGUGGGGGCUGGGCCCGCGGCCUAUCGGCGUGUUGGUGGGGUGGUGGCCUACCAAGGCGACGACGGGUAGCCGGCCUGAGGGGGUGACCGGCCACACUGGGACUGAGAUACGGCCCAGACUCCUACGGGAGGCAGCAGUGGGGAAUAUUGCACAAUGGGCGCAAGCCUGAUGCAGCGACGCCGCGUGAGGGAUGACGGCCUUCGGGUUGUAAACCUCUUUCAGCACCGUCGAAGCGCAAGUGACGGUAGGUGCAGAAGAAGGACCGGCCAACUACGUGCCAGCAGCCGCCGUAA
rnacentral:rRNA from 1 species